rnacentral:rRNA from 1 species
CAGUCGCCACGGUAAUACGUAGGGUGCGAGCGUUAAUCGGAAUUACUGGGCGUAAAGCGUGCGCAGGCGGUUGUGUAAGACAGGUGUGAAAUCCCCGGGCUUAACCUGGGAACUGCGCUUGUGACUGCACAGCUAGAGUAUGGCAGAGGGGGGUGGAAUUCCACGUGUAGCAGUGAAAUGCGUAGAGAUGUGGAGGGACACCGAUGGCGAAGGCAGCCCCCUGGGCCAAUACUGACGCUCAUGCACGAAAGCGUGGGGAGCAAACAGGAUUAGAUACCCCCGUAGUCCUGUCUCUUAUACA